UUAAGUAACACUUUAUUGUAACACUUUGAUAUUAAGUAGUCUUUUUUUUUUUCUCCUUUUUAUUUUGUGUGUUUUUUUUCUCGUCCCUUUCUUUCAAUUCAAACCCUAAAUCCUGAAACAAAUUCGAUACCCACAAAUUUCUCUAUACCAUCUCCAGAUCCCCAAAUUUCCCUUCUUCGGUUCUUCCAUUGCCACCUCCUUCCCCUCUUUCCAUGGCUGACGCUAGCUUAUAGGGUUUUUAGUAGAAAAUUGAUGAAAUUUAUACAGAAAAUAGUGAUGGUGGAGAAGGUCAGAGGGAGGGUAGAAGAUAUUUGAACGGUGGGAGAAGGGCGAUGGUGGUAGCGGGGUUCCUGAUUUUAGUUGUCUUUAUAUCCGCUCCCUUCAUCUCCUCGCUCGCCUCACCUCCUCCUAGAGGAGCUUGAGAAAUCAAUGGCAGCAACAGAGUUUGAACAAGAGAGAAGAUGAUGAUCGAAGAUUUAGACGAAGACGAAAAUAUCGACAGCAACUCGAACACUGUAAAACCAAGCAAAAUUAAUGUUUUGGAUGAAGUGGAUCAUAUGCUUCACAUGGGGUUUGAAGAAGAUGUUUGUUCUAUAUUGAGCCAAACAAGCUCUGUUGUCUGCUGCUACUGCUAUUACAGUUGAGCUGCAAGCUGCUGCUGUCUUCGGUUACUACUGAUGUCUGUUUGCAAUUGCGCUGAUUGUGAUUUUGCCUAUUCUGUUUGGAAUUUGGUGGUCUAAGAGAUCCAAGUUGACUUUUUUUUUUUCUUUUUUGUUAGUUUGGAUUAUUAGAUUGUUUAGAGAAAUAAAAAGAAAAAAAAUUGGUGUUUAUGGAUUUUUGUAAGGAUAUAGCAAGUUUUAUCAAUUUAAAUUAUUAUUUAACGUGUAUGUUAAUUUUACAUUGUGUCGUGGUUGUACAU